AGGAGCCCUCGUCGCGGUUGCGGUACUUGUACAUGGCGUAGAGGAGAAUGAGGAUGCAGAGCGCCGCCGCCGCCACGAUGCCCACCACCAUGCCCGUGGUGCUGCUGGAUUCGCGGAUCACCUCCACUGCACCUGGCGGGCCGCGCUCCCCCGGACCCGUGGGGAAAAGAAAGAGAAGAGAGAAGAGAGGGCGUCAGCGAGGGCCAGGGCGCGGGCGGCCGGCACAGAGAGAGAAACAACAGCCUCACACCCAAAUCGGUUCAAUUGGCUUUGGCGGAGACUACGCGGGCCGGGCCCGCCCGCCAGCCGGCCAGCGCCUGCGCUUUAAGCGGGCUGCGGCUCGGAUGCCCUGGGCACCCCACGCGCGGGCUCUGUGACUUUGGGUUUUGGUCUUUUUGUUUCGUCUUAAGAAACCAAACGGAACAGAAAGGAAAGGAAAUUGAAAAGAAACGGAAUUUUUUUUUUUUCUACUGGUUUAAGGCUUUAAAAACAUACAACAGCAGCAUUUAAACAAACCUAACAACAAUAUCUUUUAGGGUUUUUUUUAUAUAUAUUUCUUUUUGCUUUUUUUUUUUUUUGCUUUUGUUUUUAAAAAAGAAGAUAGCAUACCACGGAAUUCAGGCAACUUACAUCAACAAAUAGGCCGUGUGAUUUUAGCAUGAAGAAAAAAAUUACAAACAGAGCUGUGUAAGCGGGUUCUCCCGAAAAAAAAUAAG
ensembl:antisense Gm14964 predicted gene 14964